rnacentral:rRNA from 1 species
CCCUUAGAUGUUCUGGGCCGCACGCGCGCUACACUGAUGCAUUCAACGAGUUUCUUCCUGGUCCGAGAGGAAUGGGUAACCUUUUGAAAGUGCAUCGUGAUAGGGAUAGACUAUUGCAAUUAUUGGUCUUCAACGAGGAAUUCCUAGUAGACGUAGUUCAUCAGACUGCAUCGAUUACGUCCCUGCCCUUUGUACACACCGCCCGUCGCUCCUACCGAUUGAAUGCUCAGGUGAGCCAUUCGGACUUUCAUCAUGCUGGUUUCCAGUUUUGAUGAAGGAAAGUCUUGCGAACCUUAUCAUUGAGAGGAAGGAGAAGGCGUAACA